CAAACCAGUCAGACUGCAUAAGUGAAAGGAAAACUCAGGAGCUUCGUUUUGUGUCGAGGGGAAAAUAAAUCUUUUCAGGAGUAAAAACACAACCACAAAAGAAGAAAUCAAACAUCAGCAGAAAUCAGUUGGACUCCAUAUUCAAGGAGCUGGAACACAAAGUCAUCACUCUGAUAAAGAACGAGCUG